rnacentral:rRNA from 1 species
GGAUUAGAUACCCUGGUAGUCCACGCCGUAAACGAUGUCUACUAGCCGUUGGGGAACUUGAUUCUUUAGUGGCGCAGCUAACGCGAUAAGUAGACCGCCUGGGGAGUACGGUCGCAAGAUUAAAACUCAAAUGAAUUGACGGGGGCCCGCACAAGCGGUGGAGCAUGUGGUUUAAUUCGAAGCAACGCGAAGAACCUUACCUACUCUUGACAUCCAGUGAACUUGGUAGAGAUACCUUGGUGCCUUCGGGAACACUGAGACAGGUGCUGCAUGGCUGUCGUCAGCUCGUGCCG